AUAAUAUAUUGUGAUCUUAACAUUGGUAUUGUGUCUGACAUUGAGAAUAAGAUGGAUGUAUAUACCCUGAAUUUUAAAAUGUUCUAUGUAAAUCAUAUUUAUUUGGAAUAUACCAUCCUUCUUUUGGUGAAUGCACUUGGAAAGGUUGACAGGCGCUGAAUUUUUUAUUUUUUUUUAUUUUUUUUUAUUUUUUUUUGCAGCUGCAAAUGAACCACAGAACGGUACAGCUUGGUCACCGAAACUCAAGAAUCUAAUUGCUCAGAAGAGAGACUUGUAUACACACAAUGGGCUUCAGAAGUCAGAGACUACAUUGAAAACCCAUGCCAGACUUUUAAAGGAUGCUGUACAGGCGGACCACAGGAGCCAGUGUGAAUCAAAGCGACUAUAGCCAAUGGCAACGGUUCAUGUGCAGACAGGUGAAAAAGAUACUUCUGUAGGUCAGCACAAGGUCAUCAAGCAGAAGACAGAUAAGUGACUCUGCAUGAGGUAAUACCACAUCAACCACACACACCUAUUUGGCCUGGCAAAGGGAGCUCUUUGUUAGUACAGAGAAGUGCUGAUGGCUUCUGUCCCCCUCUGGUAGGGUCACAGGGGCCCUUUUCUGAAACAAAAUAGGCCAUGCACCUGCCAAAGAGCCAACAUCAUCAAAUAUUGAUCUAUAUUUACACUACUAGUUAAAGGUUUGGACGCACUGAAUGAAUUUGUUUUAUAUGAUUUUAAAACAUUUGACAUUUUUCAUAUAUGCUUGAAAUUAGAUUUGUAGACAUAAAUUGUGCCUAUGUAUUUCUAUGCAAAUUUAGAAUUUGAUUUUAUUUUUGAAUUUUAAUUUUAUUUUAAGUAUAAUUUGCAUGUCUAUUUUAUUUUAUUUUAUUUUUUAAAAUUUAAUUUAAUCUUUAAAUUAAUUAAAAUUUUAUGAGUCCCUUUGAACUUCCAGUUUUAUUUAUUAGUUUUAAUGACUUUCUAUAAAAUGUGGAGAGAAAAAAAAUGGGUAUGUGCGUGUCUGGUAGUGUAUAUGCCAACAUAACAUUUUAUUAUUUCUCUUUGCAGUCAUUCUCAGAGUCCUAUCCUAUUUCCAUCUGAAAUUAAUGACCACAUUAUUCGGGUCUCUCUGUUACUCAUCACCCAUAAUUCCCUGCUGUGACCUCUACGACCCUCACCUCCUCUUGUGUCUGUCCUCUUUUCCUCCUCAUCCUCUUUUCUAGCAGCAUUCACCUCUGAAUGACUCGAAGCUCUGGCAGGGUGACAGCCCCUGUCUGUCUCUCCAGGACCAACUUGAACCAACACCAGUCUAAUCUCUGGGAUCACCUUUCUUCCAUGGGGACACAAGUGUGGAUCAGUGGGACAGAGCUCCAGGAAUCUCCUCUUUUAAUUUAGGUACAGAACCACAC
ensembl:lncRNA